UGAGCAAUCUGCCCUUCUCAUCGGAAUAAGCGUUGGAAACGACGUCUAAUGCCGAAUACGACCUCCUUUCGCAUGAUCGGAGGUGGAAAGCUCCGGCGGAGAAGGAUGAGCUCGCGGCCUAUCAGCUAGUUGGUGAGGUAACGGCCCACCAAGGCGACGACGGGUAGCCGGCCUGAGAGGGUGACCGGCCACACUGGGACUGAGACACGGCCCAGACUCCUACGGGA
rnacentral:rRNA from 1 species